UACGUAGGGUGCGAGCGUUGUCCGGAAUUAUUGGGCGUAAAGGGCUCGUAGGCGGGUAAGGAAGUCAGAUGUGAAAUGCCGGGGCUCAACCCCCGGAACUGCAUUUGAAACUUAGUAUCUAGAGGGUAGGCGGAGAAAACGGAAUUCCACAAGUAGCGGUGAAAUGCGUAGAUAUGUGGAAGAACACCGGUGGCGAAGGCGGUUUUCUAGCUUAUUCCUGACGCUGAGGCGCGAAAGCAGGGGAGCAAAGCAGGAUUAAGAAACCCGUGGUACGUCC
rnacentral:rRNA from 1 species